GGGGGGCGGGGGCUGGACAAGAUGGCCGCGGUCAUCCCCUGUGGGCCGGCGGAGAAAGGCGCUCCGCGGGGUCCUGCCCUUGAAGGCGGGCCUGGUGCGCUGCCCCGGCGUCCUCUCAGCGCCUCGGCUUGCGGUUGCAGGGUUCCGUUAUGACUGAUUAGAAAUGGGCCCAUUAUGUAAAAGCCUCUGUGCGUAUUAUGAGAUUUCAAAGUUAGAAGUUAGGUAAAUCAUAAUACGGAGCGCUUCCUAAUAAUUAAGCUUCGUAUGGCCUGGUAGAAAUGAAUUUGAUUCCUUUUGGACUGAUAAUUAAAGCCUUGAAGCAGGCUGGAGCGCUAGAAGUCUUUCCUCUGUCUGCGCCUGGGUGUGUAUUGAAGGAGAUGUACAUCACCUUACACUGUGGGUGUCAGUGCCCCCCAAAGGCGUCCGUCUCCCACGAGCAGCGAGGAGGGAUUUCUGCUGACUGCCGUGCCUUGGUGUAGGCACUAACAAGGCUGUGGGUGAGGCACAAUCUGUGGAGUCAUCUUGCUGUCUGUCAGGUGUUCCUGCCCUGCAGAGAGCUGCAAAAAGAUAUUUGCUGAAUCACCCAGGCUUGAUUUAACACGCAGUCUAGCAUAAGGAGAGCCUGGAGAACCUACGCUGAGCACAGAGACUGUGGCAGAACUGCUGAACAGAUGCACUCGGUGCUCCUGCUUAGGCUGAGGGCCGUAACUGGCAUUACAAUGUCUGCCUUUCCUGCCCUUGGGUGGGUAUUAAUGGCAACUGCUUUUGCUUAGUGAGACGUCGGACAUUCACAACCCAAUGGGAGAGAUAAGACCAAGUUAGUUCAUCAACGAUUUUUUUCAGGAGGCUGAGGAAGAGCUUUGAUCAUUGUCAAGUGGAGCCGUGAUACUCAAUAGCUAAUGUGCUUCUUAAUUAAUCUGCCUCAAGGGAGGGGUGCCAUGCAUGUGGUGUUGGGUUCCUGCAUAGAAAUUGCCCUGCGAAAUCACCGAGGACUAAAAAUUCCUCUCCACAUCUGUGUAGCAGAAAUUGCUCAAAGUAAGAAAUAAAGUUGGUCUGAAGCCACCCUGAGAUGCAUCAGUAUAGCUUAAAAUGUAAGAAAAGAAUCUGAAGUGAUACAUUGCAUGCAGCAGAGAUUUCCUUAUUCACAUGUUUAAAACUCAUCGGUGAUUUCCUAGUGCAGUGAAAAGCAAAUACAAACAUUAGGAUAGAAAGGGCAAAGAGAGAAACUUAAAUGUAAUUAGGCACUCAUUAGUUUAAAGUCUUGGUAAAGACCAGUGGCAACUAGACUAGAUAGAAAAGUCAAUGAAUUGUUCCACCAGUAUAUGAACAAACCGAGUGAUGGAGGAAAAGGUUGUCUUAAUGGGCACGCAUCUUAGCCUGGAGAAUUCUUCGUUUGCUAACAAGCCUUCCUUCAGCAUGCUGUUAUUUUUCUAUAUUGUGGCUGCAGAGAUAAAGUAACCGAUAAGGAAUUUGAUUGUGUGGUUACAAAUGCCUAAGUCUGUUCUUCUGACUCCUAGCCAAGGUCACUGUGUUUAUUAUCUUGCUGCUUUUGGAAAGCGGAACUCCAUAUUUCAAUAAAGCUCUCAUUUUCUUUGGUGAGAAUGAAGUCAUCUCCUGUUUGUGUAUUAAGAUAAAAUAUUUUAGCAGCUUCUUUACAGAACAAGUUGCCAAUUUGUGUGAAUUUCUUUCUUUUUUUUUCUUUUUUUCCCUGGAAAAAGAGAAAAUCUCCAUGAAGCAGAUACUUUCCUUGCUGAUAAUGCUGACUUUCCAAGGACAGCUGAAACAUACAAGGAAGAGAAAAAUCGUAACUGGACAAACAGUUUGUGUAUGGGAAGAAGAGUUCAAGUAUGGGAAGAUUUUGAGGGCUUUACUGAAGAGAAAAAAGGCAACUUUGAAAAGAACUAGAUGGCAAAACACUAUACAAAGCAGGGAGAGUAAGUAGCUGUGUGGAAGAACAAGCAUCACUCAGGAAACUGAAGGCACAGAUCUGCAGAGAGCGUUGCUUUGUAAUAGAAGGGCCAAAGAGGACCGAUGUGCAAUGAAAAUACCCAUGAAAUGAUUAACAGUUGACAGUCUUGCUCCACAGUGCAAGGUACGUUCAAGAAUAUUAAUACAUUGCUUUCCCUUUCUUUCCUUCCCUCCCUCUCCUACAUUAAUAACACUGCCUUAGCGGUAAUGGAACAAGAUCAGCAUUGUAGACAUACAAUCUAAUACGUACAGAUGGGGAAGGAAAACCACUCCAUACUUAAAUAAAAGUUUCUUACGUUUUCAUCGAACUUGGAAUAUUUGUCGUGUUCUGAUUUAAACAUUUCGUGUGGUGGAAUCUUCAUUUUUGCCAGUUUUGCUGCCUGUAAUAUAAAGCAUGCAUUAACUGCAUUAGCAUCAUAAAUAAUUACUGACAGCAUAUCUUUUUAAAAAGCCAUUCCUGAACGUGUGCAAAUGGAAAAGGAGAUCAUAAUUUGCAAAUCAAAGAACAUUUAAUUUGUAACUGUUUAUCAUGGGAAAAGCAACUUUCAGUGAGGAACAACUCAAUAAAUCUUAGCUGUGUUUGUCCAAGAAAAUAAAAAUAAAUUGAUAUUUUACAUUUACAGAGAACUACUUUAUAAUAUAGUUGUAUUGCAGGAACCUGAAACAACUCUAAACAUGCUCUAAAAUAUACAUCUGUUUUCUGCUUAUUUGGUUCCUUAAUGUUUUAAGUGUAAACAUUAAAUGAAUACUGCUAUUUGUAAAGAAUGUUUAGCAAGGAUCUCCUGCAAAGGGAACCUUUAUCAACAGUUUCCUGCUGGCAAGAACACGGUUUCUAAGCAGGGCACAGCAGGAUCAGGGUGCAAGUAAUUGCACUGAAAAUAAAUGGAACUUCUAUUAUUUGUGAAUUAACACAUCUCAGAAAUCUUUCCAACUAAUUUACACCAAUGCAAGGGAACCAAUUUUCUGAAAGAAUGAAAUAAGCUACUUGGAAUUUGUGGUUGAUAAAUGCUAUUUGACUUUUAUUUUUAUUUUUUUCUGACAGUGGUACUCUCUAAAAGUUUACUUCCUCUUUUAACCACCAAUGUAUUUCCUGUACUGCUAGUGUCAUGAGUAUGGCAAACAAUUUUUUCCUCUUACAAGUUCACCUGCUCUUGUGGCCUACUCCUCACCCGAAUUCUAAAACUUUAGAGCUGUCAGUAUUAAAAGUGCUUUUACAAAAUGCUACAUUCUCAGAGUUCAGGCACAGGGAACAGGGAGGCACUUGACAAAAAGACAGCCUGUUUUCAUAUAUACCAGUGACAAUGGAAAGGGAAGAAGCAUAAGUAAAAUAUUCUCUACCACGAACACAAGAUACUGCUUAGGUAAUUAAGGAAGUAAUACUGUCUACAGACUGAAAUACAUGCUCCAAGGUCUGAGAAAUUUCUGCAGCCUUCAGUCUUGUUUUCAAAGAUGGCUGCUCUAUCGAAGGAGCCAUCAAGGAGAUGAAUAUUCAAAUAUAAAUUGCAAGCCAAAUCAAUUUUGAGCAGGAAAGAACAGAAAAGUAAAUAAAUGGAGGCCCAGUUAAGGCUGGGCAGAGAGCCUAUGUUCCGAUACAGUCUUUCUUGCAUGUAACUAUUGCUGUUAAAAGUUUUCUUCAAAACCAGAUUCUUUUAAUCUGAACACUUACUUCCUGCUCUUGUUUUUUUCUGGCUGCUUCUUCUUUCUUCCUUUUUUUCUCUUCUUCAAUCUGUGAAAGGCAGUGUUAAUGAGUAAAAGGUAACUGCUUCAUUUGGUUGUUUUCUAUAAAAUCUGAGCCAGCUAGCUCCCCUGGAUAUCUAAUUACAGACAGAACUGGCAGCAUAACCUACAGCAAAAACACUGUGCCUUGUAAUUAGGAUUGUCUGGUACUUCUCACUGUAAGACUUUGAUUUCAUUUGUUUUUAAUCUCAGCUAAACCAGUUCAGAAUGUAUUUUGCAUGUGAAGUGUAUACCUAUGAAAAAAAUACCUAAAAACCCUGCAAAAUAAACAGUCCUGCCAUUUCACAGGGAAAGCCAUUUUGCAAAUGACUUUAAAAAGACCACAUUUCCCUGACAUUUUAAGCUCUUGCAUCAAACUGUGAAGAAACUGCAGCUUCUCAAGAAGCAGUUGUAUCCCGUGAUGUUCCUAGGGAAACAACUAUCCAAAUUUAGACAACUUAAAAACUUUAAAAAAAAGAUCUAGCAUUUGCUUAGGAGAGACGCAUUAGAUCUCUAAGGGUUCUGCCAGUACUGAACACAAUACUGUUUUCAGAGUAAGUGUACUCUAGCUGCAGGUUCCACCCAACAGUUACAUACAAACUGUCCUCAGAUGCUUUUUUUUUUUAUGCUGGAAACACCUGGCAAUGGCUGAAACUGUGUAUUUACUUUUUUUUUUUUUUAAGAGAAAAACAAGUCCUCAGGGAAGGAGAAAAGCUUGGAAGUCUUCCAACAAUUUCUUGUCAUGAAAGAAUUUUGUAUUUGUUAGAACUGAAGACAGGCAUAUAAAGCAGUACUUUAAAAUGUUACAAAGUCAAACAUUAAGCUCGGAAGUACCCACAGAAGGGUUUCCAUACAGACAGUUUGUAUAUGAUUUAGGAUUCAUGAUCUUUAUAUAGCAACACAUAAAUUCUUGAUCCCACACUCUGAGAGAUGAGACAAUAUAUGUGCAAUAUUCGACAUCCCUUAAUUAUACUAAGAAUUAUAAACAAACAAAAACCAAAAUUUAAAUACAUCCCAUACAGAAUUUUGUAGCAGCUGCUGUUCUAAAAAUCCUUUUCUUGAACACAACUAUAAUUUCAGUAUCCAUUUUAGUAUAUAAUUUUCCGCAUCGCUAGACUUACAAAUUGUCAGGAAAUAUAAAGGUAUAAGCAGUUUAUAUAUUACUUUAAAUGUAAAAAAGAUACAGAAUGCUUAAAAAUAAUAACCUUUUUCUUUUCUUCUCUUUCUUUCAAUAGCGUGUCUUUAUCCACCAGUUUAACCACAGUUGGAAGUCCUGAAGAAGCAAAAACAGAUGAAUGAUUUUCCAAUGCUUGAAUAGUCAAAAAUAAAUGUGUUUACCCUGCAAUAACUUUUUUUUUCAAGCUGAAUGCAAAUACAACUGAAUGACUACUUAAAAAUGACCAAGCAAUUAGAUACUGUAGAAACAGAUUGGUGCUAUACAUUUUUAUUCUAUGUAUAUACAAAAAAGCAUUCAUAUAAUAUAUCUAUACAUUAGAAACGCAUUAAGCUAUCAGUUUGCAGUACUUGAGUAUGCUGGAUUAUUCUAUGCUAGUACUGAUAGCUUGUUUUCCCACAUCUUCAGAAAACAAUAUUGUAAGAAUAGCUAUCUACAGAGUUGCAAGAUACUAAAUUGGGUACCUUCAUGAUCUUCAAAUCGAACGCCAAGCUCAGGAAGGAUGUCAUCUCGAAGAGCAUCACUCAACUGCAGCACUUCAGUUACUAUGGAGCAUGAAAAAUACUUUUGCUGAAGUAUGAUUUGGUGGAAGUGCACAUCUAUCCCGAUGCAUGCUUAUUUAACUGCAAUUAAGAAACUGCCACUCUCUCACACAGGCCAGAGAAGGGCCUUUUGUUUUUAAGCAAUGGGUGUUUUUAAGUAAAUUCUCUCUUCUUUUAUCUACAGAAAGCACGUUUCUGCAAGGACUCUGAAUUGAUACAUUUCUUUCAAAUACCCCUAUUAGUCCUGAAAAUUGUCAUGAGAGUUUCAGUUCAGCACCAUAAAAAAAAUGAAAAAAUGAAUUCAUGUC